rnacentral:rRNA from 1 species
AUUGAACGCUGGCGGCAUGCCUUACACAUGCAAGUCGAACGGUAACAGGUCUUCGGAUGCUGACGAGUGGCGAACGGGUGAGUAAUACAUCGGAACGUGCCUAGUAGUGGGGGAUAACUACUCGAAAGAGUGGCUAAUACCGCAUGAGAUCUACGGAUGAAAGCAGGGGAUCGCAAGACCUUGUGCUACUAGAGCGGCCGAUGGCAGAUUAGGGAGUUGGUGGGAUAAAAGCUUACCAAGCCGACGAUCUGUAGCUGGUCUGAGAGGACGAGCAGCCACACUGGGACUGAGACACGGCCCAGACUCCUACGGGAGGCAGCAGUGGGGAAUUUUGGACAAUGGACGAAAGCCUGAUCCAGCAAUGCCGCGUGCAGGAUGAAGGCCUUCGGGUUGUAAACUGCUUUUGUACGGAACGAAAAGCCCCGGGUUAAUACCCUGGGGUCAUGACGGUACCGUAAGAAUAAGCACCGGCUAACUACGUGCCAGCCGCCGCGGUAA